UGAAAUAACGAAUGUAUGUAUUCCCCGUCUGCGCGCCAACCGAGGAGGAUUUGCUCUUGCACGAGCUCUCCUAAAUUUAUUUAUAUUAUAUUAAUUUUAACUAAAUUUAAUUGGUAAUAACAUUAAUUUUAAUUGGCAAUGUGCGAAAAUCGUUCUUUAUCAAGCUGGUCAACUAUUCCAGUCAAAAUUUGUUUAUUAAUUCUUUAUUUUAAUGUGUUUUUUUUUACAAUCUGAAUUACCACGCGGCCUCUGUCCCUCACUCCUCGGUUGGUUGGGGAAUCAAAAAUUGGUUUGUAUUUCUAAAUUUAGUUGGUUUUUUGUGCAUUUUUCCAACACAAUUUAUAAUUUAAGUAAGUUAUUAAUUAAAACUUGUCAAUUGGUUAAAUAUUGGAUUAUCUUAUAUGUAUCUAAAUUUUACAAACAUUACUAGUCUUGGUAUGCAACCAACAUAGUCGCGCCAGUAGGUAGCGAGUUAGUUUUGUUUUGUUCAUCUAGUUAAAUUUAUAAUUUGACGUCGUUGACGGUAGUAGUAAUGGCUUAAAUAGGAUGUAAGCUCACGAAAAUAUGUGUGCUAUGCUAAAUUUUUGUGCAUUCCCUAGUACUAGUAAAUGAGGAUAAUAAAGGCUAUUAUUAUUAUUAUUAUGUAACUACAUGCGAUCGUCAGAAAAUGCUGCCUUAGUAGAACGUGCAUUGGUAAGUGAAGAGAGAAAAUUCGAUUAGACGUAAAGGACGAAGAAAAGGACAAGAAACUAAUCCGAAUCCAACUCAUCUUGCACUUUUUGUCUGCAAGAUCCGCAAAACACAUGAGAAUCCCACCUCAAAGUGUCAGGAAAGAUAUUUGUCACCCUAGAAUGAGGCAAUAAGUGUCUGAACGGGAUUAACUUUUCCCGACUCUUUCUUUCUUAAUCAAAGGCUCACAAAGUUCGCUCACUCACAAAGACCGGGCAGGCUACGUAUUAGCCACCCAACCCACAAAGGGAUGCAAGCCAUGUGAACGAGAGGGGACAAAAAAUACAAUAAAAAGCACGACGAAUGAACUGGAAACGAGAAAAGUACCACAUCUCACAUCACAUCCGACCCGACCAAACUCUGAAACCGCACAACCACCACCAGCAAAAUAAGUCGUACCGACCGACAGAAUGCUGCCGGACUUGCGGAACAAAAUGUCCACUUAUGAGGUUUAAGAAAAAAUGGACUGGUCGCAAUGAGAAAAAAAAAACUUUCUACGAGAUGAAACUAUGUAAUUCUAGACCAGGUCCAUAACAGGAUGAGAAAGUGAGGGAGUGAUCGAGCCAGUGAGCGAGUGUAUAUUUAAUGGCACAAACGGGAAAGUGUGUAAUGGAUGAGGGACCGAAGACGAGAUGAGACAGAGACCACAUGGGGCCAAAGAGGGAAAGUCGCCCAAGUCGAAUGUCAUGCUUUCCUCGUCUCCCAUCCUUCGUCAUAAGUGACGGAAGAGAAAAUGUGAUACCUCGUUUUAAAAAAAACACACAAUUUGGAAAACAAGGUAUAGAAUUACACCAUGUUCUCAAAAUAAAAUUUCUGAAACAGAGUAAA